rnacentral:rRNA from 1 species
CCUACGGGCGGCAGCAGUGGGGAAUAUUGGACAAUGGGCGAAAGCCUGAUCCAGCCAUGCCGCGUGUGUGAAGAAGGCCUUCGGGUUGUAAAGCACUUUCAGUGGGGAAGAAAGCCUUGGGGCUAAUACCCUCGAGGAAGGACAUCACCCACAGAAGAAGCACCGGCUAACUCCGUGCCAGCAGCCGCGGUAAUACGGAGGGUGCGAGCGUUAAUCGGAAUUACUGGGCGUAAAGCGCGCGUAGGCGGUCUGAUAAGCCGGUUGUGAAAGCCCCGGGCUCAACCUGGGAACGGCAUCCGGAACGGUCAGGCUAGAGUGCAGGAGAGGAAGGUAGAAUUCCCGGUGUAGCGGUGAAAUGCGUAGAGAUCGGGAGGAAUACCAGUGGCGAAGGCGGCCUUCUGGACUGACACUGACGCUGAGGUGCGAAAGCGUGGGUAGCAAACAGGAUUAGAUACCCUAGUAGU